UACGUAGGUGGCAAGCGUUGUCCGGAAUUAUUGGGCGUAAAGCGCGCGCAGGCGGUCCUUUAAGUCUGAUGUGAAAGCCCACGGCUCAACCGUGGAGGGUCAUUGGAAACUGGGGGACUUGAGUGCAGGAGAGAAGAGUGGAAUUCCACGUGUAGCGGUGAAAUGCGUAGAGAUGUGGAGGAACACCAGUGGCGAAGGCGACUCUUGGCCUGUAACUGACGCUGAGGCGCGAAAGCCAGGGAGCAAACGGG
rnacentral:rRNA from 1 species